GAUGAACGCUGGCGGCGUGCCUAAUACAUGCAAGUCGAGCGAACAGACGAGGAGCUUGCUCCUCUGACGUUAGCGGCGGACGGGUGAGUAACACGUGGAUAACCUACCUAUAAGGCUGGGAUAACUUCGGGAAACCGGAGCUAAUACCGGAUAAUAUAUUGAACCGCAUGGUUCAAUAGUGAAAGACGGUUUUGCUGUCACUUAUAGAUGGAUCCGCGCCGCAUUAGCUAGUUGGUAAGGUAACGGCUUACCAAGGCAACGAUGCGUAGCCGACCUGAGAGGGUGAUCGGCCACACUGGAGCUGAGACACGGUCCAGACUCCUACGGGAGGCAGCAGUAGGGAAUCUUCCGCAAUGGGCGAAAGCUUGACGGAGCAACGCCGCGUGAGUGAUGAAGGUCUUCGGAUCGUAAAACUCUGUUAUUAGGGAAGAACAAAUGUGUAAGUAACUAUGCACGUCUUGACGGUACCUAAUCAGAAAGCCACGGCUAACUACGUG
rnacentral:rRNA from 1 species